GAAGGCCCUCAGCAAAAGCUAAAUACAGGGAUCAGCUAGAACCAGGACUUUCAGCUUCCAGAACAGAGCUGAGCAAACCUCUUUCUUUACAAGUUUCUCGGCUUCAGGAUUGAUGUAAAGGCAAAGGAAGGAAAGCCGAGCUGAUCUGGAAGUCCAAACGGAGAGUAGGAGAGGGAACAAGGAAGAGUUAGUUUAAUGGGAACUGCCUUCUCACCUCUGCUUGGUGAAAUCCUCACUUUCUUCAAGUUCCGUUUGAUGACAUUUCCUUCUGAAACCGCCUAUGAAAGUCUCAAACAAAACUUAAGGAGCCACAUCUCAGGUAUCUGACUUGAAGAGAACCAAUGAACCAGGAGGCGAGGGAAGAGCUCAAGAACCGGCAGUUCAGCCCUCAGACAAGGAGGUUCCUUCUAGCUGAUACAGGGGGAAAGGAAGACUGAGACCACCAGCCCACUCUUGAUCAUUCUGCUUUCUUUUGCAGUCUGUUUCCACCUGGCAAGCGAAGUUUAAUGAGCCGGUGGGUUCAUUAAACACUUGUUCUGUUUUACAGAAUGAAGCAUUGCCGGAUUCUAGAACCACAGUUAAAAACCAAGAUGUGUGAAGCUGUAAUUUUGUCUUCUGACAAGCCGGAUAGUAAAUAUUCUAGGCCUCACAAACCACAUAGUCUCUGUUACACCUACACAAAUGUGUCUUCACAGCAGGAGACAGAAAGUAACCCUAAAAUAUGUAAAUGGACGAGGAUGGCUGAAUUCCAAUAAGCACUGCUUGUGAAAUUAGGUGGGCAGGAUUUCGCUGACGCAAAGGAGUUAUUUGCCCAGCCUGGACGCAAAUAAUUUCACUUACCCUAGUAAGAAGCUUAAAGUUCAACAUUUAACUCCAAAAGGCUUAUCUCAUGAUAGCAACUCCUAUCAUAAACUAUGUCUAGUGGCUUCAGUUUAAGCAAAUAUAAAUCUGGAACAAAUUAUAAGGGGAAAGCCACAAAAUCUAGACUGCGAUGUAUUGUACAAGAUGAGAAGUAAUAAGAAGUGGAUACGGGAGUCUGAGGACGCAGAGGGAAUGUUUUAGUGUAGAUUAAAAUAAUAUUAAGAGAUUUAUUACUAAACACACGAAGCUUGCCUAGACCCGGAGCAAUGAGGAAAAAACAAAGCCAGCUUGAAUAAUAUACAGAGGACAACUGGGAACAUUUGAACACAACCAUUAUACUAGAUGAUAUGUCAGUGUUUUGUUUCUCAGAUGUGAUGGUGACAUUGUAGUUUUAUGAAGAAUGAUUCUAUUCUUAGAAGGCUAUGAUAAUGUUUAGGGAUAAAAUCGUGUGCAGACUGCUUCAGUGCAAACCAGAACGGGAGGAGGAGGACACGGUCCUCAUAGGCGAUAAAUUUAGGUGAUGACGCACAUAUGGUGAAGGUACAUUUAGUUCUUGGUUUGAUUUUGAUUUUCUGAGACAGGGCCUCCCCGCUGGACUAUAACUUGGUAUGUAGUGCAGGCUGGUAUCAAACUCUCAGCAAUUCUCCUGCCUUAUCCUCCCAAGUACUGGAAUUACAGGUUUGCACAUACUAUUAUCUCCAUUUUUCUGUGGCUUCGAAUUAAAAGAGCAAAUAGAUGUUGUAGUGAA